GAAGCUUUGUGAGCUUAGCAAGAGGACAAACAGUACAUUCAUGAUCUUCAUACUUCAAAUGACUUAGUGCAGCAUGUCUCCUAAGCACUUCAAUAGGAGCAUGCCCCAUUCUUUUAUGCCAGAGAACACUGGAGUCAGACAGCAGCUACACAUUAUUAGCACAUCUAUUUACACUUCUUGUCGGGAUAGAACCAUUUCUGAGAAUGUAUAACCCUUGAUCUUCUCUA
rnacentral:lncRNA from 1 species